CCUGGCGGCUGUAGCGCGGUGGUCCCACCUGACCCCAUGCCGAACUCAGAAGUGAAACGCCGUAGCGCCGAUGGUAGUGUGGGGUCUCCCCAUGUGAGAGUAGGGAACUGCCAGAC
rnacentral:rRNA from 3 species